rnacentral:rRNA from 1 species
UACGGAGGGAGCUAGCGUUGUUCGGAAUUACUGGGCGUAAAGCGCACGUAGGCGGCGACUCAAGUCAGAGGUGAAAGCCCGGGGCUCAACCCCGGAACUGCCUUUGAAACUAGGUUGCUAGAAUCCUGGAGAGGUGAGUGGAAUUCCGAGUGUAGAGGUGAAAUUCGUAGAUAUUCGGAAGAACACCAGUGGCGAAGGCGACUCACUGGACAGGUAUUGACGCUGAGGUGCGAAAGCGUGGGAGCAAACAGG